rnacentral:rRNA from 1 species
AUUGAACGCUGGCGGCAGGCCUAACACAUGCAAGUCGAACGGUAACAGGAAGAAGCUUGCUUCUUUGCUGACGAGUGGCGGACGGGUGAGUAAUGUCUGGGAAACUGCCUGAUGGAGGGGGAUAACUACUGGAAACGGUAGCUAAUACCGCAUAACGUCGCAAGACCAAAGAGGGGGACCUUCGGGCCUCUUGCCAUCGGAUGUGCCCAGAUGGGAUUAGCUAGUAGGUGGGGUAACGGCUCACCUAGGCGACGAUCCCUAGCUGGUCUGAGAGGAUGACCAGCCACACUGGAACUGAGACACGGUCCAGACUCCUACGGGAGGCAGCAGUGGGGAAUAUUGCACAAUGGGCGCAAGCCUGAUGCAGCCAUGCCGCGUGUAUGAAGAAGGCCUUCGGGUUGUAAAGUACUUUCAGCGGGGAGGAAAGGAGUAAAGUUAAUACCUUUGCUCAUUGACGUUACCCGCAGAAGAAGCACCGGCUAACUCCGUG